AUUGAACGCUGGCGGCAGGCCUAACACAUGCAAGUCGAGCGAGCGGCGGACGGGUGAGUAAUGUAUGGGGACUGCCCGAUAGAGGGGGAUAACUUCUGGAAACGGUGGCUAAUACCGCAUACUAUCGGCUAACCCCUAUGGGAUUAGCUAUUGGGUGGGGUAAAGGCUCACCUAGGCGACGAUCUAUAGCUGGUCUGAGAGGAUGAUCAGCCACACUGGGACUGAGACACGGCCCAGAAUCCAACGGAGGUAGCAGUGGGGAAUAUUGGACAAUGGGCGCAAGACUGAUGCAGCCAUGCCGCGUGUAUGAAGAAGGCCUUAGGGUUGUAAAGUGCUUUCAGCGGGGAGGCGUUACCCGCAGAAGAAGCACCGGCAAACUCCGUGCCAGCCGCCGCGGUAAUUC
rnacentral:rRNA from 1 species